rnacentral:rRNA from 1 species
UACGUAGGGUGCAAGCGUUAAUCGGAAUUACUGGGCGUAAAGGGCGCGUAGGCGGCCGAUCAAGUCAGGCGUGAAAUUCCCGGGCUCAACCUGGGGGCUGCGCUUGAUACUGAUUGGCUUGAAUGCGGGAGAGGAUAGUGGAAUUCCCAGUGUAGAGGUGAAAUUCGUAGAUAUUGGGAAGAACACCAGUGGCGAAGGCGGCUAUCUGGCCCGUUAUUGACGCUGAGGCGCGAAAGCGUGGGGAGCAAACAGG